rnacentral:tRNA from 1 species
GGAAGGGUGGCUCAGUGGUAGAGCGCUGCCGGCCACGCAGGGCUCCGCGUGGUUCGAAUCCCGCCCCUUCCA